UUGUCUGAUGCCACGUCGAAGGUAGCUCUUUUUUUUGGGGCAAUGAUCCUAACUCGACGCUAUAUUAGACAUAAACAAAUGUACGUGUUUCGCUUACUGAUAGGAACCUGUGGAUCUUGUUUUACGAUCUACGGAGCCAUAGCGAUUACAAUU
rnacentral:snoRNA from 1 species